rnacentral:rRNA from 1 species
CCUACGGGUGGCAGCAGUGAGGAAUAUUGGUCAAUGGCCGGAAGGCUGAACCAGCCAAGCCGCGUGAAGGACGAAGGUGCCAAGCAUUGUAAACUUCUUUUGUCAAGGGACAAAAUCAGGCUCGAGAGCCUGACCGAGGGUACUUGAAGAAAAAGUAUCGGCUAACUCCGCGCCAGCAGCCGCGGUAAUACGGAGGAUGCGAGCGUUAUCCGGAUUUAUUGGGUUUAAAGGGUGCGUAGGCGGGCUGUUAAGUCAGCGGGAAAAGCCCGGGGCUCAACCCCGGCGAGCCGUUGAAACUGGCUGUCUUGAGAUGUCGAGAGGUAUGCGGAAUGCGCAGUGUAGCGGUGAAAUGCUUAGAUAUUGCGCAGAACUCCGAUUGCGAAGGCAGCAUACCGGCGGCGAUCUGACGCUGAGGCACGAAAGCGUGGGUAUCGAACAGGAUUAGAUACCCGGGUAGUC